AAACCCUGUUGGGGACACUUCCGCAAGAGGUCCAUGAAUCGGUCCCAUGUCUUAAAAAUGAUUCGAGCUCCAUCUGUAUGAAUGAGGAUAUCUCAUUACGAAGCCU